rnacentral:misc_RNA from 1 species
AGUUAAACAGUACGUGAAAUUGUUGAAAGGGAAACGAUUGAAGUCAGUCGUGCUGGCGCGAAAUCAACCCUCUCGUCGAGAGGUCACAUGGCGUGGCGAGCCUCAAAACCGUCACGAAGCGUGAACUCUUGGCGAAAAGGAGCACUUUCGUGUCCGCUGGUUAACAUCAAUUUCGAACGUCAUAAAAAGGCUGGAGGGAUGUGGCUCCUUCGGGAGUGUUAUAACCUUUAGCGGAAUGUGGUGGUCGGGAUUGAGGAUUGCAACGAAUACCUUUAGGGCUGUUCCACCUGGCUUCUCUUUGGUAUCCUGGUGAAGACAGCUUGCUGACUUUGUUAGGAUUCGCCUUUGAACAGGCUAGAGUGUGAGCAAAUUCGUUAAGGAUGUUAACGUAAUGGCUUUAAA